rnacentral:rRNA from 1 species
AGAACGAACGCUGGCGGCAGGCCUAACACAUGCAAGUCGAGCGCGCCCUUCGGGGUGAGCGGCGGACGGGUUAGUAACGCGUGGGAACGUACCCUUUGGUAGGGAAUAGCCACUGGAAACGGUGAGUAAUACCCUAUGAGCCCUUCGGGGGAAAGAUUUAUCGCCAAAGGAUCGGCCCGCGUUAGAUUAGGUAGUUGGUGGGGUAAUGGCCUACCAAGCCUACGAUCUAUAGCUGGUUUUAGAGGAUGAUCAGCAACACUGGGACUGAGACACGGCCCAGACUCCUACGGGAGGCAGCAGUGGGGAAUCUUGGACAAUGGGGGCAACCCUGAAUCCAGCCAUGCCGCGUGAGUGAAGAAGGCCUUAGGGUCGUAAAGCUCUUUCGCCUGUGAAGAUAAUGACGGUAGCAGGUAAAGAAACCCCGGCUAACUCCGUGCCAGCCGCCGC